CCUACGGGAGGCAGCAGUGAGGAAUAUUGGUCAAUGGACGCAAGUCUGAACCAGCCAAGUAGCGUGCAGGAUGACGGCCCUCCGGGUUGUAAACUGCUUUUAGUUGGGAAUAAAAGGGGGCUCGUGAGCCCCGUAUUGUAUGUACCAUCAGAAAAAGGACCGGCUAAUUCCGUGCCAGCAGCCGCGGUAAUACGGAAGGUCCGGGUUUUAUCCGGAUUUAUUGGGUUUAAAGGGAGCGUAGGCCGGCUUUUAAGUCAGCUGUGAAAGUCCGAGGCGCAACCGGGGAAUUGCAGUUGAAACUGGAGGACUUGAGUGCGCAGAGGGAUGCCGGAAUGCGUGGUGUAGCGGUGAAAUGCUUAGAUAUCAUGAAGAACUCCGAUCGCGAAGGCAAGUGUCCGGGGUGCAACUGACGCUGAGGCUCGAAAGUGCGGGUAUCGAACAGGAUUAGAUACCCUAGUAGUC
rnacentral:rRNA from 1 species